CUACAAAUCGUGGUAUGGCUGAGAUAUUACCCGUAUUACCUGAUCUGGAUCAUACCAGCGUAGGGAAGUGUAUUAAUGAAGCGUAUCAAUGCGUUAACUAUUGC
rnacentral:misc_RNA from 1 species